UAGUUACACACUAAAAAAUGCUGGGUUAUUUUAACAACCCAACUGCUGGGUUAUGGCUGUUGGGUCAUUUUGUUGGGUUAUUUUCAUAGAGUUGGGUUGUUUUUUUCCUACCCAGCAGGUUGGGUCAAAACCACUGAGCUCAACUGUCAGCAGCGGCCAUUACUGCUCCUCCACCGCCUCCGAUUGAAACUGCUCAUAAAGAUCAACUUUACCCUCUCCAUGUGGGACCUCCAGAGCUGAUAAAUGCCACUAAAGCUUUACAGGUAAGCAGCAGUUUUAUAAUGAUCAGAAAUGUUUUAUUCUCUGUUUAAUUCAUUUGCUAAAAUACAAACUUGUGUUAAUGGGUGUCCUACAGAAAACAAACUCUCCUGAGCUCAUCCAACAGCUCUGUCUGUCUGAAGAUCAUCAUCUGCAUCACUGGACACCAGUCCCAUGGAAUCUUCAGCUCAGUGGAAGUGUCCGCCUGCCUCUGAGACGAUGCCUCUGUUACUUCACCAAGGUAAGAUCUUACAUUAUACUGUCACUGUCUUAUGGGAAGGUUGGUGUCCCUGGUGGAGUAAUGGUUACCAGGUAUUGGAUUUCAUCUGUGACAAUGUCUCUCUUUAUUUCCACAGUGGUCUCUGCUGCUGUAGACUGCAGUGUCCUCAGCCCUGUCCCUGCUCUGUCUCCUGCUGCAGUGUCCCCAGCCCUGUCUCCUGCUCUGUCUCCUGCUGCAGUGUCCCCAGCCCUGUCUCCUGCUUCAGACUGAACUUUUCCCAGCCCUGUCCCUGCUGUGACUGAACUGUCCACAGCCCUGUCUCUGACUCUGAAAAAGGACCACUUCACCAAAAUACAGCAAGUACAAUAUGGACAAUGGGGGACUUUCCUUAGGCUUGUUAACAACCAAAUUAAUUAUUUGCUGCUGA
rnacentral:lncRNA from 1 species